rnacentral:sRNA from 1 species
UAUACUCGUGUUGCAUGACAGCUUUGUA